rnacentral:ncRNA from 1 species
GCAGCGUGCGUUGCGUGAUUCCAUUGUGUUUUUUGCACUUGACUGGGUGGACAGCUGACCGGAAGAUAACUUCGAUUCGCACUGGGACUGAGACACGGCCCAGACUCCUGGGAGGCAGCAGUGGGGAAUUUUCCGCAAUGGGCGAAAGCCUGACGGAGCAAUGCCGC